CCUACGGGAGGCAGCAGUGAGGAAUAUUGGUCAAUGGGCGCGAGCCUGAACCAGCCAAGUAGCGUGAAGGAUGACUGCCCUACGGGUUGUAAACCUCUUUUAUAAAGGAAUAAAGUUAGGCACGUGUGCCUUUUUGUAUGUACUUUAUGAAUAAGGCUCGGCUAACUCCGUGCCAGCAGCCGCGGUAAUACGGAGGAUCCGAGCGUUUUCCGGAUUUUUUGGGUUUAAAGGGAUCGGAGAUGGGUUGUUAAGUCAGGUGUGAAAGUUUGCGGCUCAACCGUAAAAUUGCAAUUGAUACUGGCGGCCUUGAGUACAGUUGAGGUAGGCGGAAUUCGUGGUGUAGCGGUGAAAUGCAUAGAUAUCACGAAGAACUCCGAUUGCGAAGGCAGCCUACUAAACUGCCACUGACAUUGAUGCACGAAAGUGUGGGUAUCAAACAGGAUUAGAUACCCCGGUAGUC
rnacentral:rRNA from 1 species